rnacentral:tRNA from 1 species
CCCUGGGUGGCUCAGAUGGUUGAGCGUCUGACUUCGGCUCAGGUCAUGAUCUCAUGGUUUGUGAGUUCGAGCCCCACGUCAGGCU